rnacentral:lncRNA from 1 species
GCUCACUCUCUCUCUCUCUGCCAUAUGAGGACACAGCAAGCAAGGCCAGGAAGAAAACCCUCACCAGAAACCAGAUGAGCUGGAACCUUGACCUUGCACUUCUCAAGCCUCCAUAACUAGACAUUGAAAGAGAUGAAGACAUGGAUUACAAAAUCAUGGAAACACGUAUGGAUCUUGGGCCUAGCGGACAGGUAACAGGCAGUGAGAAACCAGGCAUCUCAGACUCAAAAGCUGGAAACCAUGUGAUUCAAAGAAAAUAUCUGCCAAAAACUAUCUCUUGCAAAAUUAGGAAGCCAAUCGAACAGCUUUGAACACACGCCAACCAAGUCUUGAUGCUCUAGGCAAAGUAACUGGAAAAGAUUAUCAGUGUUUGCUGCCUUUUAUUGACUGUUUUUAGGGAGCUGUUACCAAAGAAGAAAGGGAAAGAAAAAUACCGUAGGAAAGAACUGGCUGGUUUGAAAGCAGAGUUAGAAGGAAGAGAGCCAAGAAAUUUGGGGUCUCUCAAGGCAACUAAUUCUGUAUCCCAAAUAAAAAGUGAUAAGAUUGGGGGGGGAAAAACCUCGCUCAUAGAGUUCCUAGUUAAACCAAAGGAUUUAGCCUUAGUGUAGAGAUCGGAUGAAGAUGUUGUCUUCCCAGACAAGACUAUCAUUUCAAAUGAAUUUGAGAUAAACUCCACUAAUUUGAGAGAGAUGCAUGGGAAUUAAGGAUGCAAAAUAAGAUCUCUGGACGUAGUUAUGGGCAGAGGGAACUAACCAGAGCAAAUGAAAUCAGAAGCUGAAUACUUUACUUAGAGACUCGUAUUCUCAAAUAAGCCGUGAGGUGGCCUGAAAAAGGGUUAUGACAGUAAAACAACCACCGGGCCUCCAAUCUUACAGGGCAGGAAGUGACUGCCUAUGCAGCAGCCAGAAAGGGAGAGAAUUAACCCCCCAUCACUGUAGCAGUGGGAGGGUAUCUGACACAGAUACAGUACUUAAAGUCAUAAAGCCAACCAGGAAAAGAAAUACAUAGCCCAUACCGGAAGACAGAGUGGGUGGGUGUUUUUUUCGCAGCAGUAAGUUAGUAGACGCUUGUCUAAAGUUGGCAAAUGAAGAAAUAAAGUUAAAAGUACAUCUUUAUGGUAGUAACUUUCAGGAGAACUAAAACUGUGAGAUUAUGGGGGCAAAGUAGCGGAGGCGGCCGUUUAUUUUUCGUUUUAUGUCCUUCUCUUCUGCUUAAAAUAAAACUAAUCAGUUUUGAUACAUCAUACAAGGAGAUAUCACACAGCAAUUACUAAACAAGACGGAGGUGUGCCAAAAAACCAUUGAGUGAGAAAAGCUAUUGCACACCAGCAUGACAGCCAAAUAUGUUUUUAAAAUGUAUAGAUCUAGAGGUGGACAGAUGGAAGAAGAUUGAUGGAUGGGUGGAUAAUAGACAGACAGACAGACAGACAGACAAAGAAGCUAUAGACACACAAACUUGUUUCUGAGUAGAAUACCAUGAAGGAUACACACCAAACUAUUCCCAAUUUCUUUUGGAUAUAAGGUGAGGGGCAGGGCCUUGGAAGCUGAAACCCACCCUCAAUUAUUUUAGUACCUAUUUUCUUCUACUAAAUUUCAAACUGCAAACCGUAGAUUCAUUGAAUGACAUGCUACUGCUUUCAGAAGGUUACUCAAAACCAUGAAGAUUUGUAUUAUGACAAUGUUAUCGACGCUAUUGCUUGGACUUCUAAUUCUG